GACAGCAGCAGCCGCGGGAAUACGUAGGUCCCGAGCGUUGUCCGGAUUUAUUGGGCGUAAAGCGAGCGCAGGCGGUUAGAUAAGUCUGAAGUUAAAGGCUGUGGCUUAACCAUAGUACGCUUUGGAAACUGUUUAACUUGAGUGCAAGAGGGGAGAGUGGAAUUCCAUGUGUAGCGGUGAAAUGCGUAGAUAUAUGGAGGAACACCGGUGGCGAAAGCGGCUCUCUGGCUUGUAACUGACGCUGAGGCUCGAAAGCGUGGGGAGCAAACAGGAUUAGAUACCCCGGUAGUCCCUGUCUCUUAUACC
rnacentral:rRNA from 1 species